UAGUUUAAUACCUGGGAAGCCUCUGUGAU
rnacentral:piRNA from 1 species